UGUUAGAUGUCGCUGUAGAUUUAGCAGCACUGUACUGUAAAAAUCCACAGUACUAUACUGUAUGUGUACAUUACAGUAAAGUACUGCAGUUCAUAGUGCAUUCUGGGUAAAUUUGUUUGAGCGGGAAAAUUUUACAGUAUAUUUUGGUCUUGAUGUAACCUUGCUGUAGCCAUUGCUGUAAUGUGCCAGGUGUACUUGCAAUAAUCAGAGAAAGUGCGCACGAGUCAAAUCACACAGAGGGAGAGAGAGCACAACUCCUGGCUGCAGCUGAAGAAGGAGGACGAUUGAUUUCUGGCAGUUCGCUCUAACGUUACAGUUUGCUCCACUUUGCUCUGUGGUUUAUAUGUUUUCUUCUUACCAUUGCUUGUAAGCUGGAUUGAGUAAGAUGGAUCAUCUUUAAAGGAACCAGGCAAGUACAGGAUGUACAGUUACACGUUACUAGUCAUGUAUUUUUUCGACUGCAAUAUUAAAUGCUUUUACGUCACAUGUAAAAGUACACAGGAAUGUGGCUGAUCACUUUUUAU